CACGUCUCCAGCUGUCUCUCGACAGGUGCUCUAAGGUGGGAGGACUGGACUAGGCCAGGGGGUGUUGCCUCUGUUGGUAGAGCAGCUGCAGCAGGUCUCUGCAUCAUCAAACCCCUCUGUCACCCUGUCCCUGAUCAAGUUUAUAUAAUGGAGCCUGAGAGAGAUAGACAACGGCACACAGCCCGUGGCUCUGUCAUCCACUCUGCGCCGUCUGGUGAAGAGGUAUCCAGGGCUCCGACCCAGCAGCAGGACCCCAGCAGCCCCCCUUUCCAUUAAUCAAACAACCAACCAAUCACUUUUUAUUUGUUUCAUGCUUUUCAAAAAUACAUUGGUAAGCAAGCUUAUAGCAGCAACCCAGACCUAAACCCCACAGGGCAAGCUCUCUGCCAGGUUGGCUCAGUUCUAUAUCUGAAUGGACAUUCAAUUGGUUUGUUCAUAUUGGAAGAAUAUUUCUUCAAAAGGAUGUUAUCAUGUC